rnacentral:rRNA from 1 species
UACGUAGGGGGCAAGCGUUGUCCGGAUUUAUUGGGCGUAAAGAGCGUGUAGGCGGCCAGGUAGGUCUGCUGUGAAAACUCGAGGCUCAACCUCGAGACGUCGGCGGAAACCAUCUGGCUAGAGUCCGGAAGAGGAGAGUGGAAUUCCUGGUGUAGCGGUGAAAUGCGCAGAUAUCAGGAAGAACACCCGUGGCGAGGGCGGCUCUCUGGGACGGUACUGACGCUGAGACGCGAAAGCGUGGGGAGCGAACAGG